rnacentral:rRNA from 1 species
UAAUCUACAAGCAAUCAAAACACAAAGUUAAUAUUGUAUAAUCAUGGUAACCAAUGAAAUUGAGAUUCAGCCACAUUAGGACUCAGACAUGGCCCAGACUCCUAUAGGAGGCAGCAGUGGGAAAUUUUUAGCAAUAGGCGAAAACCUGACAGA